rnacentral:rRNA from 1 species
UACGUAGGGUGCGAGCGUUGUCCGGAAUUAUUGGGCGUAAAGAGCUCGUAGGCGGUCUGUCGCGUCUGCUGUGAAAUCUCAGGGCUUAACCCUGAGCUUGCAGUGGGUACGGGCAGACUAGAGUGCGGUAGGGGAGACUGGAAUUCCUGGUGUAGCGGUGAAAUGCGCAGAUAUCAGGAGGAACAGCCGGUGGCGAAGGCGGGUCUCUGGGCCGUAACUGACGCUGGAGGAGCGAAAGCAUGGGGAGCGAACAGG